CUCUGACUAACUAGUCCAACCAAUAUAAUCCAAAACCCUAAAAAUAACCCCAAAUAACACUAAAAAUAAAAUUAAAACAUUUUAUUACCUUAGUAAGAGCGACUGAAAAGGAACUUAUGGAACUAUAAAGAUAGUACCGCAAGGGAACAUUGAAAUAGAGAUGAAACAGCCUAGUAAAGAAAAACAAAGCAGAGAUUAAACCUCGUACCUUUUGCAUCAUGACUUAGUAAGAAACACUUAGGCAAGAAGACUCUUAGUCUAAGACCCCGAAACUAAGUGAGCUACUCCAAGCCAGCAUAUAAAUAUAGUGCGAACCCGUCUCUGUUGCAAAAGAGUGGGAAGAGCUUUGAGUAGUGGUGACAAGCCUACCGAACUUAGUUAUAGCUGGUUUUCUGAGAAUAGAAUAUAAGUUCAGCCUCUAAAAUUCUUCUUACAAACAAGCUUACUACACCAAGCAGCACCUUUGGUUAAUGAGAAUUUUAGAGAGUUAGUCAAAGGGGGGACAGCUCCUUUGAAUGAGAAACAACUCUAACUAGUAGGCCUAAGAUCAAAACUUUUAAGGUAUGUUACUUACGUGGGCCUGAAAGCAGCCACCCCUAAAGAAAGCGUUAAAGCUCAAGCAACACUACCGCCAACAAUAACGAAAACCAAUUCUUAUCCCACUUAAAAAUAUCAGAAUAUCUUAUACCCCUAUAAGAGAAAUCAUGCUAACAUUAGUAAUAAGAGGAAAGAGCCUCUCCUUACAUAAGUGUAACUCGAAACGGACCAACCUUCGAGAAAUAACGGCCCCAAUAAAAGAGGGAUUAGGAAAAAAUAUCAAAUUCCAGAAAAGCCUCCUAACCUUACCGUUAACCUCACACUAGAAUGUAUUCAAGGAAAGAUUAAAAGAAAAAGAAGGGACUCGGCAAACACAAACCUCGCCUGUUUACCAAAAACACCGCCUCUUGAAAAAUUAACAUAAGAGGUCAUACCUGCCCAGUGAUAAUAUUUAACGGCCGCGGUAUUUUGACCGUGCAAAGGUAGCGUAAUCACUUGCCCCUUAAAUGGGGGCCUGUAUGAAUGGUCUAACGAGGGUUUAACUGUCUCCUUUUUCUAAUCAAUGAAAUUGAUCUCUUCGUACAAAAGCGAAGAUUCCCAUAUAAGACGAGAAGACCCUGUGGAGCUUAAGAUUAUUUUAUAGACUAUGCCUAAAGCCCUACAUAAUAGACCUAAAGCCCAAUGCUUCCUAUAAAAAUCUUCAGUUGGGGCGACUACGGAGUAAACAAAACCUCCGAGAAGACCAAGAACACAUAUUCUUAAAACCUAGAGCUACCGCUCAAAGCAACAGAACCUCUGACUUUAAUUGAUCCAAAUACUUGAUCAACGAACCGAGUUACCCCAGGGAUAACAGCGCAAUCCCCUUUCAGAGUCCCUAUCGACAAGGGGGUUUACGACCUCGAUGUUGGACCAGGACAUCCCGAUGGUGCAGCCGCUAUCAAGGGUUCGUUUGUUCAACGAUUAAAGUCCUACGUGAUCUGAGUUCAGACCGGAGUAAUCCAGGUCAGUUUCUAUCUAUAUAAUGCUCUUUUCUAGUACGAAAGGACCGAAAAGAAGAGGCCCCUACCAAAAGUACGCCUCACUUUAACUUAAUGAAAACAACUCAAAAAAACAAAAAAGCAUACCUCUCACGACUAUAGAAAAUAGUA
rnacentral:rRNA from 1 species